AAACAGGGAAAAUCUACAUACGCCAUUGCCAACAAACCGGCUGCAUAUUUUGUGUGGGAGGACACUGCCUCCAAAAUGAGUCAGCAUAACAAGAGGAGAAAUGAGGGCAUGGAGAGUGAUCAGUGGAUGAAGACUGAUUCUCCUGAAAUCAAUCCUGGAACCUCUGAGCCCAGUUUUAGCAGGACAAAGAAACUCCGGACAAACUCUCCAGAACCCAGUGGUGUGUCUAUGAAAAGUAACAACUCCAUUGUGCAGCCCCUGUUUUCAACGAACCAAGCACCUCUGACCCUCCAUCUGAGCAGUCCACUACAUCUCACUACCCAACACACAUUAAUCAGGACAAAACUAAACUAGUCUUGCAGACAUAUGCACUGCAGACCAGCAAAGACCAACACAAAACCAGCAUGAGAAACAAGUAUAGGAACUUGUUUGAGGAACCAACUCAAACAAGACCCUCCUGAACAAGAUCUACACACAACUGUACAUUGUAAAGGGAGAGUGAAGGAGUGAAUGAAGAGCAUGAGAUUUUACAGAUGGAGAAAACAGCCAGAACAAAACACUCACAAGAUACUCCAAUAUACUACAAUGAGAUCUUAAAAUCUUCACCUAAACCAGGAUCUGAGGAGAAAGACCAGAUCAAGACUGUUCUUACUAAAGGCAUCGCUGGAAUUGGAAAAACCGUCUCUGUGCAGAAGUUCAUUCUGGACUGGGCUGAGGAAAAGCCAAUCAAGAUGUAGAUUUCAUUUUUGUUCUUCCAUUUCGAGAGCUGAACUUGAUCCAAGAUCAUCAGUACAGUCUUCACAGACUUCUGCUGGACUUUCAUCCUGAACUUGAAGAUCUGGACUCAAAGAUUUAUGAGGAGUGUAAAGUUGUGUUCAUCUUGGGCGGUCUGGAUGAAAGCAGAAUCCACUGAUGUUUUCAGAUGAUCAGAAAGUUUGUGAUGUGACUGAGACUUCAUCAGUCAGUGUGUUGAUGACAAACCUAAUGAAAGGAGAGCUGCUUCCCUCUGCUCUCAUCUGGAUCACCUCCAGACCAGCAGCAGCCAAUC